GGGGUUAGCUCAGUGGUAGAGCAUCUCCUUUGCAUCCAGAAGGUUUUGGGUUCAAUUCCUGGCAUCUCCA